CCGUGAGUGGAAGCCAAGCCGGUUCUGCCGGGGUGCUCUUUACCGAGUGUCCCGUGCGGCCGGCCAGUUGACCUUGAAUAAAUGAGAGUGCUCAAAGCAGGCUACUCUGGAAUACAAUGCCCGAAUGUUAGCUGCAUGGAAUGAUGGAAGAUGAUCUCGGUUGCAUUUUGUUGGUGGUGGCAGCCAGAGGUAAUGAUAAAGAGGGACUGUCGGGGGCAUCCGUACUACGACGCGAGAGGUGAAAUUCAGUGACCGUCGUAGGACGAACAACAGCGAAAGCAUUUGCCAAGAAUGUCUUCGUUGAUCAAGAACGAAAGUUAGAGGAUCGAAGGCGAUCAGAUACCGCCCUAGUUCUAACCCUAAACGAUGCUGACUAGCAAUUCGCCGUCGUUAUUCCCAUGACGUGGCGAGACGCCCCCGGGAAACCUCAAGUCUUUGAGUUCCGGGGGUAGUAUGGUUGCAAAAGUGAAACUUAAAGGAAUUGACGGAAGGGCACCACCAGGAGUGGAGCCUGCGGCUUAAUUUGACUCAACACGGGGAAGCUGACCAGGCCCGGACNCCAGAAGGAUUGACAGAUUAAGAGCU
rnacentral:rRNA from 1 species